rnacentral:rRNA from 1 species
UACGGGGGGGGCAAGCGUUGUUCGGAAUUACUGGGCGUAAAGGGCUCGUAGGCGGCCAACUAAGUCCGACGUGAAAUCCCCAGGCUCAACCUGGGAACUGCGUCGGAUACUGGAUGGCUUGAAUUCGGGAGAGGGAUGCAGAAUUCCAGGUGUAGCGGUGAAAUGCGUAGAUAUCUGGAGGAACACCGGUGGCGAAGGCGGCAUCCUGGACCGGCAUUGACGCUGAGGCGCGAAAGCCAGGGGAGCAAACGGG